rnacentral:rRNA from 1 species
GACUCCAGGCAACGGAUAUCUCGGCUCUCGCAUCGAUGAAGAACGUAGCGAAGUGCGAUACUUGGUGUGAAUUGCAGAAUCCCGCGAACCAUCGAGUUUUGAACGCAAGUUGCGCCCAAAGCUUUUUGCCAAGGGCAUGCCUGCCUGGGCGUCACGUAUCA